rnacentral:tRNA from 1 species
GUGCUCAUGGGAGCUUGCGGUCGACUUGCAUUUGCCUUCUAAGCAGCAGGUCGGGGGUUCGAGUCCCUCCGGGCAGGCCA